UGUGGCUGUGUGAAUGUGGUGAAUAACAUAACAUAACCUCUUUCCUCUUUUGGUAUUGACGGAUUGAGGACGUAGAUGAGAGCCAUGAUGAAAAUCAAGAGCACCCAAACUCCAAGUCACCGACUUCCCCGCAGACGACAUAGCACACCGGCCAAAACCCACCCCCCACCAGCCUAACAACCAACAUAUCCGACAAGUUUUCAACACACAGCACAAUAUUAAUUUCCACAAACCAUUAACUAUCUUCCAUCUCAACAUACAGCGUGGACUACAAAACAAAAUUGACAGAUUGCUUAUAGAGGUAGACAAAAUUAGGCCUGACAUCUUGAUCCUGUCGGAACACGGUCUAAAGAGUGAAGAGCUCGCAGUUACAAAUAUUGAAGGAUAUGUGCUGGCAUCACAAUUCUGUAGAAUCCAUCACAUGUGGGGUGGUGUUGCACUUUACCUAAGAAAUAAUUUUCAUAUCGACUCAGAAGAAAUUAAACUCCAGGAACUAUGUACGGCAGAAGAACAAAAAUUUGAGACUGUUGCAAUCAAACUAAAAUAUAAAUUCUAUAACAUCAUACUGAUUGGUACAUACAGAUCACCUGAUAGUACUACUGAAGAGGAUUUUCUAACAAAACUGGCACACGUCUUACAGAAUUACACCACGAAAAAUAACUACUGCCUGAUCCUAGGCGACGCCAAUUUUGACAUUUUGAAGCCUGACAAUCGGGGUGUAAAAAAUCUCCUAUGCCUGUUGGCUGAAUAUGGGUGUUACGCAUAUGAUAUUCCUGUGACGAGAAAAACUCCAACAUCUCUCUCUAGUAUUGACGGAUGUUACACCAACUUACAACCAGAUGAAAUAUCUGUACAAGCACACCUGACCAGUCUUUCGGAUCACCACUAUUUAAUAUGUAAAGUUAAAAAUAAGAAUAAACACCAGCCAGCUACCUAUAAAUACUCAAGAAAUUUUUCUAAGGCUAAAUUGAAAGAGUUAAAGGAAAAACUAAGUACAGUGGAUUGGGCGCCUGUUUAUGCAUUGAGAUCUGUGGAUGAAAAAUAUAACAACUUUCUAAGGAUUCUUCGACUCAACAUGGACCACAUUAUGCCUAAGGAACCAAAGAGGGUCUCAACAACAAACAAAAAUAUUUUUUGGGACAAGGACAUCUUGGAACAAAAAGCAGCUCUGCAAAUUGCCCACAACAAAUAUCUGCUCACUGGUGCAGAGGACGACAAGGAAGGUUUCCACGACAUAAAGAGAGCUUACGACCAACAAGUUAAUAGUACACGAAGACGCCACACUGCAGAAAAAAUAGCUCAGGCUGACAAUAGAACUAAAGCUAUAUGGAAUAUAGUUAAUAAUGAGAGAAAGAAGAGCACUACACAACAAAAACAAAUUAGCCUAAUGCAACAUGGCAAACUAAUACAUGACCCUUAUUACGUGAGCAAUAUUUUUAACAAAUUAUAUACACAGCCUACCCUGGAACAUACCACCAACCAACCAGAAAAUGACAUCAAGCUGAUGGAACCUGACAGAGGAGUGCCACCGUUGUCUUCUUUCAACUACAUAUCUGAACGGGAAUUGGAUAAACUCUGUAGCAGUAUUAAGCCUAACAACUCUGCGGGAUUUGAUGAUGUCACAGGGAAGAUUCUCAGGUUCUGCAAGGAAGAGCUAUUAAAGCCUGUUUGCCAUAUUAUCAAUAGCUCCAUACAACAAGCCACAGUGCCUGAGAAGUUAAAGAUAGCAAAAAUCUACCCUGUCUUUAAAAAGGGCGACAAACAUGAACCCAAUAAUUACAGACCAAUUUCAAAUCUGCCAGUCAUAUCUAAACUGCUUGAGCGUGCUAUUUAUAACCAAUUAUCCACCCACCUUCAAAACUACAAUCUUUUAUCUCCAUGCCAACACGGUUUCAGAAAGGGUCAUAGUACCAACACGGCAAUAGCUCAUCUAUGCAAAACCAUAAAUGAUCUGUGGGAAAACAAGUGUAGCGCUUCAGCUCUUUUUUUGGAUCUACAAAAAGCCUUUGACAAUUUAAACUGGGAAAUUUUUCUUCAGAAACUUAAACUGUUCAAUAUCACGGACCUAGCUCUAAAUUGGGUUAAAAAUUACCUUGAUGACAGGCAACAAUUUGUCGAAUUAGGCUAUCAGCACCACAACACAAUUGGAACCGUCAAAUCAUCCUUAAUGAAAACAGUGGUAGGAGUCCCACAGGGAUCGAUAUUGGGUCCUUUGUACUUUUUAAUUUAUAUUAAUAGCCUACCAGAGUCACUGAACCAUAAUCUGAGAACCAUACUCUACGCAGACGAUACAACAAUAGUAAUCCCUACAAAGUACCAUGAGAACAAUAGCAACAUAGUUAAUUCAACCCUGGACGAGGCUACCUCUAUCUGCAAGUCUCUUAAACUCAGCAUUAACACCACAAAAACCGUUCACAUAAGUUUCAAGCCAAACAACAGUAAUAGAGCUGAUGAGGACUGGCAAGGAUUGAAGAUUCCCGUUACCGCAUCAACCAAAUUCUUGGGAGUUAUUAUAGACCAAAACUUGAGUUGGCAAGAUCACACCGACCAUCUCUGCAAAAAAUUAGCUACGGCUCACCACGUAAUUAGACGCAUUAGAGCUAUAACUGAUGAAAACACUGCAAUUCUGGCCUACCACUCACUUUUUUCUUCCCAUCUGCGGUAUGGAAUCGUCGCCUGGGGAUCCACCCAGGAGAAGAACACAGACCGCAUCUUGGUUCGGCAAAAGAAGACCCUUAGAACAAUACUGCGCCUGCAACCCUCGGAGCACUGCAAACCAUUUUUUACCCAACACAAAAUCCUUACCGUCUAUUCCCUCUAUAUCUAUGAAACCAUAAUCCUGGCCAGACAACAAUCCCCAACCCUACGACAAGAGAAACAUUCCUAUAACACUCGCAACAAACACAAUAUUGACCUACCUCAGCAUAGACUCCAAAAAUUUAACAAAACCCCAACCUAUUCUGGCUCAUUUUUCUACAAUCUCUUGCCUCAAGACCUAAAAAAUCUACCACCAACACGCACAUUCAACAUAAAACUUAAACAAUACCUUGCUGAUAGGCCCUACUAUAAAAUCUCAGACUUUGUGUCUGACCACACUUUCUCACGUCUCGCCUCGUGAAGAAAGAAGACCCUGCAGUUUGAAUUGACGAUUCCCCGAUCGGCUGAUCGUGGAGAAGACGCCGGAUGUAAGAUUUUGUUGACUCGAAGCUUACGCAGAGGAUUCUGAUACAAGCUCGCAGACAGCAGGAAGAGUUAGAGGAUGAGGUGGGAACAGAUGGAGCUUCCGGCCACCAGAGAGCAGC